AACCUCCCGGGCCACCCGGCCUGCGGCGGAAUGUUGCGUUAAGGGAAAGGUCGUAGUCAAACCCCACAGCCACGCGAGCUCUAAGUAAGCCACGAAUCGGCUGUCCCAACUAACGGCGGGAAAGUCUCCACGGAGGGUGUAAGACCCGUGUGGGCGCGUGCAAAUGCUGUGUGGGCUCGGCCUCUUUUCCCUGAGAGUCGCGUUGCUUGAGCAUGCAGCGCUAAGCAGGUCGUAAACUCGAUCUAAGGCUAAAUAUGUCCACAAGACCGAUAGCGAACAAGUACCGUGAGGGAAAGUUGAAAAGCACUCUGAAGAGAGAGUCAAAAGACCGUGAAACCGCUCAGAGUAUAAGCCAAUGGAGCUUGGAAGGCUUCCGCAGUGUCGGCCAUCUAUAUGGUGUGUCGUGAGGCAUGUAGCACGGUUCGUUAAGCGGAGCAUUGAGUUUGCCGCUUAGCUGUCGUGCGGGGAUACGGUUUGGGGGUCUUAGGCUUCGGCCGAAGGGCUCCUGGCCGUUUCCUUAUGAAUGAGCGUUCAGAGCUACUGUGUCCUAAUGCGGUUAUGCCCACCACGGCACGUUGUGAGGUCACCCACAGGCUCAAAAUGCCGAUCGCGCAUCCAGGACGAUGGCAACGAUGCGUUGUUCAGCUCGAUCUCUAGUGGAGCUGUCACGCGUGUCUAGUCCUGGGUCGGGCGGCGACCGAGAUAAACCUGGUAUGAUCCUCUUGCGACGAGCUGCUUUCUGGCCAGACCGACGUCCAGGCGCUUCCACUGUGCCGGAAGCGUCAAUCCCAGGCGGUAUGAACCCUGCUGCAUUCUGCAAGGUCUCUCAGCCGGGCGUUGGUCUGAGUGGUGUUAAGUCCAGCACCAUCGGUCACGUCUCGAAACACGGGCCAAGGAGUAUAGCAUGUGUGCAAGUCUAAGGGUCUCACAAAACCCGAAGGCGAAGUGAAAGCAAGACUGUGGCGGGGGAGCUACGGCGAACCCGCCGGCCGUGGGGCACUCCGUGCUGCUCGGCUUUUAGCAGAGCUGAUCCUGCUUCUCGGUUAAUUCUUGGUGCAGGCGCAAGCUCCGGGCUCACGUACAACACUGGUCACCUCGUGUGGCUGUGUUGUGAGCACCGUGUAGCAUGCAUGCUAUGACCCGAAAGAUAGUGAACUAUGCCUGGCGAGGGCGAAGCCCCAGGAAACUGGGGUGGAGGCCCGUAGCCGUUGUGACGUGCAAAUCCAU
rnacentral:rRNA from 1 species